rnacentral:lncRNA from 1 species
CACGGGCGCUCCCCAUAUUCUUUAGCUCCUUAACAGAUUUGCUUAUCCUGUCAAUUGUAUCGCUCAUUUGUUCCACACAAUCUUUAAGAGCUGCAUAUUCUCUUGGCUUCAACCCCUUGAAUUUACACAGCUUGUUGACAAAUGCUUGUGUGGAUUGUGCCCUGUCAAGGCUCACUGACAACGCAGUUUGUGCUAGUUGUUGUGGGCUACGUUUUAUGGCUGGUGCGAACCCCGCUAAGGAAGUGAAGCAUACUUCAGGGUAAGUGGUGAAUUUGCACGAGCUCUUGAUGAAACUGGUGGCGACUGUGGCGGAAUUCGCCGUGCCGGAGAAGCAGAAAAGAGAGAGCACAGCUGCUAGCAGUAUAAGCUUCAGUGCUGCCAUUUGUUUUUUCUUAAGAAAUGGAUGUUGGGGGAUAUGACUAAAUUGGGGGCAUGGCCU